UGCGUAGGCGGCGUAUCAAGUCGUAUGUGAAAGCCUGGGCUUAACCUAGGAGGGUGCAUGCGAAACUGGUAUGCUUGAGUACAGGAGAGGGAAGCGGAAUUCCUAGUGUAGCGGUGAAAUGCGUAGAUAUUAGGAGGAACACCAGUGGCGAAGGCGGCUUUCUGGACUGACACUGACGCUGAGGCACGAAAGCGUGGGGAGCAAACA
rnacentral:rRNA from 1 species